CAGCAGAAAAAGCAAACCUGGGAAAUGAGAAUUUCACUCUGAGGAGAAACACUGUGGUGCCCUCACUCGCGAGCUGUGAAGGGCAGAUCUGCCUCUGGGUUUCCACAGACUAUUCUUCAGCCAUCUUCAUUCAUUGUUGGGAACGACAGCUAAAUAACUCCUAGGCUGUUUCAUAACAGAGAGACUAGCCUCUCUAAGAGCUUCUAGCAUCCGGGUCCUCACAAUCCAAGGAAGAGUCCAUUUAUCAGAGCAUCAGACUGGUGCAUCUGGACAGGAUGGUGGGAGUUAGCCAUGGAGGCCACAGAGUUGCAUUUUCUUCACAUUACUGAAGCAAGUAAGAAAUCCAAAGGCCGCAACUACUGUGCAAACACCACAGCUAAUGGCACACACAGAAACAAGCUGUUCUGAUGGCAGGGAGCUGGGACUGCCUAUCUCCAGGGCAGAGGACAGCCAGGCUGACGCAGGAGGAAGCUUUGGUGGCUGCCCCUUGGAAGAGCUCAUCAGGCUUUUUUGAUAUGACUUAAUGGAGCUGGCUGCAGCGCAGAAACCGCAAUGACUUCAGGCCUGCAGUUUUGCUGUGGCUCAGAGCAGCAGCACACAGGUCCCCCGAGUCGCCCACCGCUGGACGUGACACGUCCCAGGGGAAGCGCUGCUCCUGCCAGGGAGGGGGCGAGAAGCCACCAGAGCAUCAGCCUGCACCCCAGGGAUCCCGGCUCAGCAAGACCUCAACCCCGGGACCCAGGCUUGCUCAGAGGGAUGCUUUUCUGAUGGAUCAGCAGACCCUCGCCAACAUGAGGGCUCCACUUUGCUUGUGCUGCAGAUCACAGUGCUCGAAGCAUUGAAAGAAAGUCUCAACUGAUUAAAGACUUCCAGCAGCAUAGGAGCACUGCAGCCACCAGCAACCUCCAUCCUCUGGCCGCCAACGGCCGCGGCCCUCAGCUUUCUGCCCUCCGGGUCAUCCUCAUGCAUGGACAAUGCUGAAGGGCCUCAUUUUCAAAGGUGACCAGCAAUUUCCAUCGCUCAGCCUGUGACAUCUUAAAAGGAGGUGAGGUUUCUGAAAGCAACAAGCACGCACACUAUGGAAGAAGCCAAGUUGUCUGGAGGUUCUCCAAUACGGCAGUCAGAAAUGAAGGGUUUUCCACAGAAAUAACCUAAAUAAGGUUCAGACUGGAUGCAGAAUUCAUCUUUCCUUUUGGAAGAAUUUACUCAUAGCACACUGUUAGCCUGGGAGAAACAUGGGACCUCCUAGACCUGUAGGGCUAUGUAUGUGCAAGCUGCAUUUAAGGGAAAACAUUGAUUAAUGGACACUGGGAGAAGAGGCUUGUGUCAUCUUUAAAAAUACACUCUUAUGUGUCCGGAUAUCUCACACAGCAGACGACCACAUCACAGAGGAAGAAAGCAUCUGUCAAAACUGGUUUUCUCUUACAUGAACUGGGGUUUUCAAGCUGCCACACUUGUGUCUGUGUUCUACCAAGCAGUACUGUCACAUCCAAGCAUGUAAGAAAGCAUGAGUCACCUCCCUUUGAAAUCAGGAAAUGAGCUUUAAAAAGUACCCAUUUUCUAAAAAAACCCAACAAACCCAUUUUAUUUUUCUCCCUGUAUAUAUGGCAGUCACAGCUUUGGAAUGAAUUCUUAAAUUUUUACAAGAAAUAAAAUGUAAUAUAUUUAUGUAAUCCUGUGAUUCCAGAUGAUGAUGCCUUAUGGGAUCCAUCACGCUGUGAUACUUGCACUUAAUUUGUGAGUCUUAGAGACUGGAAACUGGAUACACGAUUGUCUUACAAAAACGCAAACAAAUUACAAAGAUCCUCAGCUUUUCUUCACAGCAACAAAGAACUUAAUAAAGAAAAGAUGUUAAUACUAAAACUUCUGUAUUUCUGUCCUGCUCUGCUUCUUAUACCAGCCUCCAUAACCUUCUGGUUUCCUCUAGUUUCUUUCUUCCUGAAGUCCCUCUUUUCUAUGUAAAGAAAGUUGACAAAACAACAAUAAAAAAUUAGUUCCAGAAGAAAACCUGAUGCACAAGGUGCACCUUGUUGCACAAGGUCUGGCCCUGUUUCGGGCUCUGCCUGCCAGAUUGGCGGCUCUUGGUGGUGCAGUAGAGGUGGCAUCUUGAGGGGAAGGUGGUGUCACCCCAACUUCUCCAGUGUUGGGGUCUGCCUGUGACAACAGCAGCUGCCCCCCUGCCCCGAGCAUGUCCAGCGAGGCUCUAGGGGGCAAUGCCCCACGGCAGAGGGGCUGGGAGGUUUUUCAUCGGGAUGAUUCGUGCUUCAUUCUUACAAAGGUGCCAAACACAGGAGAUGGUUUUUUUAUCUCCAGAUUAGCAAAUGGGCCUUUCUGGGCCUUUUCUUGUGCAGGUGCAUCAGUUCAAGAAAACUGAUGCAUGCCUGCCUGUCAUCUCUUUCUAGCACUUGGCUGAUAUUAAAGCAAAGCAUGAUUGUCUUAGUUUCUAGUGUGUUAGGGCUUAUCACUCAUUACCUUUGGAAUGAUAAGUGUGUAUUUUCAGCUAUGGCAACAAUUUGGAUGGAGAAACACAUUGAGAUACUUUAAAAUAUGCAAAAUAAAG